rnacentral:misc_RNA from 1 species
UCCGGCUUGUCACCGGCAGUCCCUUCAGAGUGCCCAACUAAAUGAUGGCAACUGAAGGCGAGGGUUGCGCUCGUUGCGGGACUUAACCCAACAUCUCACGACACGAGCUGACGACAGCCAUGCAGCACCUGUCUCUCUGCCCCUUGCGGGGAUAGCCCAAUCUCUUGGACCAUCAGAGGAUGUCAAGGCCUGGUAAGGUUCUGCGCGUUGCGUCGAAUUAAACCACAUGCUCCACCGCUUGUGCGGGCCCCCGUCAAUUCCUUUGAGUUUCAACCUUGCGGUCGUACUCCCCAGGUGGCUUACUUAUCGCAUUUGCUUGGAUGCUCCACCUAACGGCCGAACAUCGAGUUAGCAUCGUUUAGGGCGUGGACUAC